GAUGAACGCUGGCGGGCGUGCUUAACACAUGCAAGUCGAACGAAGCACCGAUGGAUAGAUUCUUCGGAUGAUAGAAAUGGUGACUGAGUGGCGGACGGGUGAGUAACGCGUGGGUAACCUGCCUCAUACAGGGGGAUAACAGUUAGAAAUGACUGCUAAUACCGCAUAAGCGCACGAUACCGCAUGGUAUUGUGUGAAAAACUCCGGUGGUAUGAGAUGGACCCGCGUCUGAUUAGCUAGUUGGCGGGGUAACGGCCCACCAAGGCGACGAUCAGUAGCCGGACUGAGAGGUUGGCCGGCCACAUUGGGACUGAGAUACGGCCCAG
rnacentral:rRNA from 1 species